CCUUAUCUGCAGUUUGGCUUACCCACCAUCCAAAAAAAUUAAAUGGAAAAUUCUAGAAAUAAACAAUUCAUAAGUUUUUAGUCAUGUACCGUUCUGAGUGGCCUGGGGAAAUCUCCUGCACUCCUGCUCCACCUCGCCUUGGAUACAAAUCCUUCUUUUGUCCAGCAUAUCCACACUUUCUACCCACCCAUCUGUUAGUAACUUCAUAGCCGGCUCAAUUACCAGAUGGACUGCUGUGGUAUUGCAGUGCUUAUGUUCAAGUAACCCUUCUUUUACUUCAUCAUGUCCUCAAAGCACGAGAGUAGUGAUGCUGACAAUUUGGAUAUACCAAAGAGAAGCUGUAAAAUGCUUCCUUUCAGUGAAAAAGUGAAAGUUCUACAUUUAAUAAGGUGUCUCCUAAGAACAUUUGUUUCCCGAACCACAGAAACCAUUAUUCACUCAUUAACCAUUGGGAUUUUUGUUCAAAGGCCCAUGAAUUAUUGCUACUUUAAAUUUGCAAGCAAAUUUAUAAUUGGAUCCUGAUGUCCCAGCACCCAUAAAUAUUUUAUAAUAAUUGUACAAACAACAUUUACAUUAAGGACAUGAACGAUUAAAAUAGGGCGACCCCCAUCUCUACCAAAAAAGAGGAGGAAGAAGAAGAAGAAGAAGAAGAAGAAGAAGAAGAAGAAGAAGAAGAAGAAGAAGAAGAAGAAGAAGAAGAAGAAGGAAGAGGAGGAGGAGGAAGGGAGGAAGAAAAGAAAAAAUAUUAGCCCGUUGUGGUGGCACACACCUAUAGUCCCAGCUAUUUGGGGCGCUGAGUCCAGAAGACUCCUUGAGGCCAGGAGUUUGAGGCUGCAGUGAGCCACGAUUAUGCUACUGUGCUCCAGACUGUGAGACAGAGUGAUAUCUUACGUCAAAAAUAAAUAAAUAAAUAUUGGUGAAAAUAAAAUAGGAUAAAAUGGCAAGCCAUAUGAAACGGAAGUCUAGCACUUACAGAGAGAUGGUAAUAUUGUGAAGCAACAGUGUAUUGAAAUUAUGAAAUAAGAGUUUUUCAUGCAAAUGUGAGGAAUUUGCUGAGGACAAGUAAGAAGAAGGCCAAUUCCUAUUGUGCAAAUCCUCUGGUCACUGGCUUCAACUAAUAAGGACAAGCAAAGGCCCAGGAAGUCAUUUCCCUCCUACAAAGAUCAUUGCAAUGAAUGGGAACUGGUGCUUUCUGUGGCUCACGCCCAGUGGGUCUGAGGGGAAAUAGAAUUAAUAAAACUUUAAACACA